rnacentral:rRNA from 1 species
UGCUGACGGUACCUGAGGAAUAAGCACCGGCUAACUUCGUGCCAGCAGCCGCGGUAAUACGAAGGGUGCAAGCGUUAAUCGGAAUUACUGGGCGUAAAGGGUGCGUAGGCGGUUGUUUAAGUCUGUCGUGAAAUCCCCGGGCUCAACCUGGGAAUGGCGAUGGAUACUGGGCAGCUAGAGUGUGUCAGAGGAUGGUGGAAUUCCCGGUGUAGCGGUGAAAUGCGUAGAGAUCGGGAGGAACAUCAGUGGCGAAGGCGGCCAUCUGGGACAACACUGACGCUGAAGCACGAAAGCGUGGGGAGCAAACAGGAUUAGAUACCCUGGUAGUCCACGCCCUAAACGAUGCGAACUGGAUAUUGGUCUCAACUCGGAGAUCAGUGUCGAAGCUAACGCGUUAAGUUCGCCGCCUGGGGAGUACGGUCGCAAGACUG